UACGUCCACACCUUUUAGGUGUGGGCCAGUUGGCUGUCAUACUUCCAAGAAAAGCUCGAACUACUGUAAAGCAUCAAAUACCUGUACCGUAAACCGACACAGGUGGGUUGGUAGAGUAUACCAAGGGGCGCGAGAUAACUCUCUCUAAGGAACUCGGCAAAAUGACCCCGUAACUUCGGGAGAAGGGGUGCCAAGUAACUAAAAUUGCUUGGUCGCAGUGACCAGGCCCUGGCGACUGUUUAUCAAAAACACAGGUCUCCGCAAAGUCGUAAGACAACAUAUGGGGGCUGACGCCUGCCCAGUGCCGGAAGGUUAAAGAAGUUGGUUAUUCAUUCGUGGAGAAGCUGACGACUGAAGCCCCGGUGAACGGCGGCCGUAACAAUAACGGUCCUAAGGUAGCGAAAUUCCUUGUCGGGUAAGUUCCGACCCGCACGAAAGGCGUAACGAUCAGGGCACUGUCUCGGAGAGAGACUCGGUGAAAUAGACAUGUCUGUGAAGAUGCGGACUACCUGCACCUGGACAGAAAGACCCUAUGAAGCUUGACUGUAGCCUGGAAUUGGGUUCGGGCUCUUCUUGCGCAGCCUAGGUGGGAGGCGUUGAAAGCUUUCUUUUGGGAAAGCUGGAGCCAUCAGUGAGAGACCACUCUGGAGGAGCUAGAAUUCUAAUGGCGUUCCUUGAAGCAGGACGCUUGACAGUUUCAGGUGGGCAGUUUGACUGGGGCGGUCACCUCCUAAAAGGUAACGGAGGUGUGCAAAGGUUCCCUCAGGCUGGACGGAAAUCAGCCGUAGAGUGUAAAGGCAGAAGGAGCUUGACUGCAAGACCUACAAGUCGAGCAGGGGCGAAAGCCGGCCUUAGUGAUCCGACGGUUCCAUGUGGAAGGGCCGUCGCUCAACGGAUAAAAGUUACUCUAGGAUAACAGGCUGAUCUUCCCCAAGAGUUCACAUCGACGGGAAGGUUUGGCACCUCGAUGUCGGCUCAUCGCAACCUGGGGCGGUAGUACGUCCCAAGGGUUGGGCUGUUCGCCCAUGAAAGCGGUACGUGAGCUGGGUUCAGAACGUCGUGAGACAGUUCGGUCCAUAUCCGGUGUAGGCGUUAGAGCAUUGAGAGGAGCCUUCCAUAGUACGAGAGGACCUGGAAGGACGCACCUCUGGUAUACCAGUUAUCAUGCCAAUGGUACACGCUGGGUAGCCAUGUGCGGAGUGGAUAACCGCUGAAAGCAUCUAAGUGGGAAGCCCACCUCAAGAUGAGUGCUCUCCAUCAGGUCACAGGAAGACAACCUGUUUGAUAGGAAGAAGGUGUAAGGCUAGUAAUAGUUUCAGCUGAUCUGUACUAAUAGACC
rnacentral:rRNA from 1 species